rnacentral:rRNA from 1 species
GGGUAGAGCACUGUUUCGGCUAGGGGGCCAUCCCGGCUUACCAACCCGAUGCAAACUGCGAAUACCGGAGAAUGUUAUCACGGGAGACACACGGCGGGUGCUAACGUCCGUCGUGAAGAGGGAAACAACCCAGACCGCCAGCUAAGGUCCCAAAGUCAUGGUUAAGUGGGAAACGAUGUGGGAAGGCCCAGACAGCCAGGAUGUUGGCUUAGAAGCAGCCAUCAUUUAAAGAAAGCGUAAUAGCUCACUGGUCGAGUCGGCCUGCGCGGAAGAUGUAACGGGGCUAAACCAUGCACCGAAGCUGCGGCAGCGACACUGUGUGUUGUUGGGUAGGGGAGCGUUCUGUAAGCCUGUGAAGGUGUGCUGUGAGGCAUGCUGGAGGUAUCAGAAGUGCGAAUGCUGACAUAAGUAACGAUAAAGCGGGUGAAAAGCCCGCUCGCCGGAAGACCAAGGGUUCCUGUCCAACGUUAAUCGGGGCAGGGUGAGUCGACCCCUAAGGCGAGGCCGAAAGGCGUAGUCGAUGGGAAACGGGUUAAUAUUCCCGUACUUGGUGUUACUGCGAAGGGGGGACGGAGAAGGCUAUGUUGGCCGGGCGACGGUUGUCCCGGUUUAAGCGUGUAGGUGUGUGUUCCAGGUAAAUCCGGUUCACUUUAACACUGAGGCGUGAUGACGAGGCACUACGGUGCUGAAGCAACAAAUGCCCUGCUUCCAGGAAAAGCCUCUAAGCAUCAGGUAACAUCAAAUCGUACCCCAAACCGACACAGGUGGUCAGGUAGAGAAUACCAAGGCGCUUGAGAGAACUCGGGUGAAGGAACUAGGCAAAAUGGUGCCGUAACUUCGGGAGAAGGCACGCUGACACGUAGGUGAAGUGAUUUACUCACGGAGCUGAAGUCAGUCGAAGAUACCAGCUGGCUGCAACUGUUUAUUAAAAACACAGCACUGUGCAAACACGAAAGUGGACGUAUACGGUGUGACGCCUGCCCGGUGCCGGAAGGUUAAUUGAUGGGGUCAGCGCAAGCGAAGCUCCUGAUCGAAGCCCCGGUAAACGGCGGCCGUAACUAUAACGGUCCUAAGGUAGCGAAAUUCCUUGUCGGGUAAGUUCCGACCUGCACGAAUGGCGUAAUGAUGGCCAGGCUGUCUCCACCCGAGACUCAGUGAAAUUGAACUCGCUGUGAAGAUGCAGUGUACCCGCGGCAAGACGGAAAGACCCCGUGAACCUUUACUAUAGCUUGACACUGAACAUUGAGCCUUGAUGUGUAGGAUAGGUGGGAGGCUUUGAAGCGUGGACGCCAGUCUGCGUGGAGCCGACCUUGAAAUACCACCCUUUAA